AUAUGCAGAUGGAAGCAGUUAUGUGGCUAAAGGAAAUAAAGGCUAGGUAUGCAGUUGUGAUUCUUGAAGGAAUCGUAGAGGUCAAGGCCUUGCUGCUGGGAACCUCUGCUCAGAAAGCUGAACUGAUUGCAUUGAUGAGGGCACUGGAAUUGUCGCAUGAAAAAAGAGUGAAUGUGUACACUGACUCAAGCAUAGAAAGUGACAAUGGACCUGCUUUUGUUUCAGAAACCACAUAGGGACUUCUCCUCCACACGUUUGCUACAUUGAAGACAAGAUGCUACUCAAGACCUGAAAGAGGGGAUCUCCAGAAAACCAACUAUGAAAAAAGUAGACUGGACCUUGGGACGUCAACCUGAUAAUUCAAGUUUCAACCUGAUAAUUCACAGUUCCUAGAGCAAAAA